GGAUUAGAUACCCUGGUAGUCCACGCCGUAAACGAUGUGCACUAGAUCCCGGAGGCUCUGACGCCAUCGGGGUCGAAGGUAAACUGAUUAGUGCACCGCCUGGGGAGUACGGUCGCAAGAUUAAAACUCAAAGGAAUUGACGGGGGCUCACACAAGCGGUGGAGCAUGUGGCUUAAUUCGAAGCAACGCGAAGAACCUUAUCCUGGGUUUGACAUGCAGAGUUCAUCAGGUGAAAGUCUGUGUCCUUCGGGAGAUCUGCACAGGUGCUGCAUGGCUGUCGUCAGCUCGUGUUG
rnacentral:rRNA from 1 species